UGAGGAAUAUUGGUCAAUGGGCGAGAGCCUGAACCAGCCACGUCGCGUGAAGGAAGACUGACCUUACGGUUUGUAAACUUCUUUUGUAGAGGGGUAAUGGCAGAUACGUGUAUUUGCGUGAAAGUACUCUACGAAUAAGCAUCGGCUAACUCCGUGCCAGCAGCCGCGGUAAUACGGGGGAUGCGAGCGUUAUCCGGAAUUAUUGGGUUUAAAGGGUGCGCAGGUGGCUAAUCAGGUCAGUGGUGAAAAGCUAUGGCUCAACCAUGGUCUUGCCAUUGAAACCGUAUAGCUAGAGAGGAGACGAGGUAGGCGGAAUGUGUGGUGUAGCGGUGAAAUGCAUAGAUAUCACACAGAACUCCGAUUGCGAAGGCAGCUUACCAGGCUUUAUCUGACACUUAGGUACGACAGCGUGGGGAUCAAACAGG
rnacentral:rRNA from 1 species